AUUGAACGCUGGCGGCAUGCCUUACACAUGCAAGUCGAACGGUAACGCGGGCAACCUGGCGACGAGUGGCGAACGGGUGAGUAAUAUAUCGGAACGUGCCCAGUAGUGGGGGAUAGCCCGGCGAAAGCCGGAUUAAUACCGCAUACGACCUACGGGUGAAAGGCGGGGGAUCGCAAGACCUCGCGCUAUUGGAGCGGCCGAUAUCAGAUUAGGUAGUUGGUGGGGUAAAGCCUACCAAGCCUACGAUCUGUAGCUGGUCUGAGAGGACGACCAGCCACACUGGGACUGAGACACGGCCCAGACUCCUACGGGAGGCAGCAGUGGGAAUUUUGGACAA
rnacentral:rRNA from 1 species